AAUACGAAGGGGGCUAGCGUUGUUCGGAAUUACUGGGCGUAAAGGGCGCGUAGGCGGUGUGUCAAGUCAGGCGUGAAAGCCCCGGGCUCAACCUGGGAACCGCGCUUGAGACUGGCACGCUCGAGUUCGGGAGAGGAUGGUGGAAUUCCCAGUGUAGAGGUGAAAUUCGUAGAUAUUGGGAAGAACACCGAUGGCGAAGGCAGCCAUCUGGACCGACACUGACGCUGAGGCGCGAAAGCGUGGGGAGCAAACAG
rnacentral:rRNA from 1 species